ACAAGGUUUUGCUAAGCUCCCAGAGCUCACUAGCCCAGAAAUGGGCAUGAGGUCCAGGGGACAUGGCUCAUGAGCAGAGACUCCAGGCCUCUCCCAGUCUCUGGGAGCAGAGAAAGGAAAAGUCUAUGAAGGAACACAAGAGGUGGCAGGGAAGAAAGAUGUUACAGGGCUACAUGUAAUGACUGAGGGCUCAUGAGCAACCCUUACGAGUUACUGUACGGGACCCGAUCAGGGUGCAGAUGGGACUACAAAGCAGCCCUUGUUGUCAGUAAUGUGACUCACAUGUCAGGCUCUUAUUUGCUGUCAGUGGCUUUAUUAAAGUCUACAGUUUCA